rnacentral:rRNA from 1 species
AGUGAACGCUGGCGGUAGGCCUAACACAUGCAAGUCGAACGGCAGCACAUUAUGAGCUUGCUCUUACGGUUGGCGAGUGGCGGACGGGUGAUGAAUACAUCGGAAUCUACUUUUUCGUGGGUGAUAACGUAGGGAAACUUCCGCUAAUACCUCAUACGUCUUACGGCUUAAUGCUGUGUAUCUUCGGACUUUCUGCUUUUGAAUGGGCCGAUGUCGUAUUAGCUAGUUGGCGGGGUAAUGGCCCACCAAGGCGACGAUACGUAGCUGGUCUGAGAGGAUGAUCAGCCACACUGGAAGGGAGACACGGUCCAGAGUCCUACGGGAGGGAGCAGUGGGGAAUAUUAGACAAUGGGGGGAAGCAUGAUACAGCCAUAGCGAGUGGGUGAAGAAGGCCUUGGGGUUGUAAAGCCCGUUUGUUGGGAAAGAAAAGCAGCAGGUUAAUACCCAGCUGUAGUGACGGUACCCAAAGAAUAAGCACCGGCUAACUUCGUG